AACAGAACAGAACAGAACAGAACAGAACAGAACUGAGAAACAAAACAGAGAUAGGCCUACCAAGUUAUAUUUUUACUAAGGUAGCUAAACCAUUGGGAAAAAGGCCUACUCAACAAAUGGUGCUGUCAAAACUGAAUAUCCAUUUGCAGAAGAAUGAGAUUUCUUUUCAUUCUUUGACCUUGUUCAGAAAUCCAUUUUGAAAUGGAUCAAAGACCUUAAUUUAAAAAUUCAAAAAGCUGAAAACAGAAAACACUUGUUAAAACUUAGGGUAGGCAACAACUUUCUGAACAGAACUUCAACUUCACAGGGACUUGCUCCCAAUGUCAAAAGACAGGACUACAUGAAAUUGAAGCAAGGAAACUAACAGCAAGAUGCUCAGACACAGAACGGAAAAAGGUUCACCAGCUUCAUCCCAGGUUGCCUGCCCAGCAUUUUCUGAUACUAUGAGAGACAGUCCUCAAAGAAGAAGUUUCCAGGGAAUAAAUGAAUUGUAGACUACCCAUUUAAUGAAUGUAUAUCAAAUGAAAAAGGAAUGAAAUGUUGAUACAUGCAAACACGUGUCAGUGCUGAGACAGCUCAAGACUGGAGGAACAGCCAGGCCUUCCAGAGACAACAGUCAAACAGAACAAAACAGGAUACGCUAAGACAACGCAAAAGCACUCAAGCCAACGGCAACCCAACAGGAGGAAGAGUCUCAGGAACAGGUGAGCUUCAGGCUGGAGCUAGAAUAAAGCCCAGUGACACUUGUUCUCUCUGU
rnacentral:lncRNA from 1 species